rnacentral:rRNA from 1 species
GAUGAACGCUGGCGGCGUGCCUAAUACAUGCAAGUCGAGCGAACAGAUAAGGAGCUUGCUCCUUUGAUGUUAGCGGCGGACGGGUGAGUAACACGUGGGUAACCUACCUAUAAGACUGGGAUAACUUCGGGAAACCGGAGCUAAUACCGGAUAACAUUUGGAACCGCAUGGUUCUAAAGUGAAAGAUGGUUUUGCUAUCACUUAUAGAUGGACCCGCGCCGUAUUAGCUAGUUGGUAAGGUAACGGCUUACCAAGGCAACGAUACGUAGCCGACCUGAGAGGGUGAUCGGCCACACUGGAACUGAGACACGGUCCAGACUCCUACGGGAGGCAGCAGUAGGGAAUCUUCCGCAAUGGGCGAAAGCCUGACGGAGCAACGCCGCGUGAGUGAUGAAGGGUUUCGGCUCGUAAAACUCUGUUAUUAGGGAAGAACAAACGUGUAAGUAACUGUGCACGUCUUGACGGUACCUAAUCAGAAAGCCACGGCUAACUACGUG